GACAGAGGAUGCAAGCGUUAUCCGGAAUGAUUGGGCGUAAAGCGUCUGUAGGUGGCUUUUUAAGUCCGCCGUCAAAUCCCAGGGCUCAACCCUGGGCAGGCGGUGGAAACUACCAAGCUGGAGUACGGUAGGGGCAGAGGGAAUUUCCGGUGGAGCGGUGAAAUGCGUAGAGAUCGGAAAGAACACCAACGGCGAAAAGCACUCUGCUGGGGCCGACACUGACAUGAGAGACGAAAAGCUAGGGGGGAGCGAAAUGGGG
rnacentral:rRNA from 1 species